GCAGUUUGCUGGCCUGGAGCAUUCAGAUAAUUUCCAAAUAGUUGAUAGUCCAUCAUUUUACAGUGAGAAAGAUGAUACAAAAAUGGAAAACAUUCAAGACGGUUGUCAAUCUUCCCAGGAGUGGACGUCCCAGCAAUUUCAUCCCAAGGUCACAAUGCCAAGAGUUACAUCUCAGACUCUAGAUGUCUCAGUUAGCAUGUUAAAUGUUAAAGUUCAUGACAGUAGAAUUAGAGAAAGACUGAACAAGUACGGUGUGUUUGGAAGGGUUGCCAGGCGAAAACCUCUUCUCUCUAAAAUAUUAUGACAGCAAGGCUUAGGUUUGCAAAGCUGCAUCUGAACAAACCACAAGACUUCAGAAACAAUGUCAUUUGGACAGAUGAG